rnacentral:lncRNA from 1 species
GGGGUCUUCACCCUUUCAGGAAUAAGACAGGUCCCUGCAGAGACUUUGGACCUGAUGUGGUGAAUAAAGGUGGUUAGUCUUUCUCACAGUUCUACCUUUAGGACGAAGAAUAGAAAGCCUCCCGUGACUAUAUUCACUAACUCUCAGCCCAGGCCAGAUCAUCCACCAGCCAGUGAAUGGGACCUCGUCUGUGGCCAAACUAAGUGCAGCUCGGUGCCCUCCUGUGAUAUUUCCAGCUCUCCAGCCUCCUGCUGCCCACAGCUCACAGACCUCAUGGAGUAGUUUCCAGGACAAAGCAAGGUUAUGUCUCCACAACACCAAACAUUCCCAGGUGUGGCAGGCAAGCCAUUGAUUUAGAAGAGAGGAGGAGAGAGGAAGAGAAAACCAGAAAAGGCACUUUCUUGGUAAAGAGACAUCAGCUUUCUCACCAUGGCUGUUUCAUAACACAAGGAGACCUGGCCCAAGCUCAGAGGGGAAAGACCCCUGGGUGUUCAUGGAAAACCUUUAAGCACAGUGAGACCAAAUGUUAGUAGAUGGGGGAUAAAAGGGAGAAAUUCAUGGAGUAUGCCUAGAACAGGCCUUGUACGCAGCAUCCCCUUCUUGCCUAGGGACUUGAAGGGCCAGGCUUCCUGUCAUUGCCUCACUCAAAUGUAGCCCAGGAAGACAUUAGACUGAUAGCACUGAUCACCUCCAGACAAAACCCCUGCACCUGCACAGUCACAUAGACUUGGACAAAACCCCAUCCUUACUAAGGAAGACCUAACAACUAUUUCUUCUCACGCGCAUUCUUGUCCACCGUCUUUAUCAAAAAGCCAGGAAAACUGCUUCUUCAGACACUUUCUGAGCCGGCUGUAUUUUGAAGGACAAAAAAAAAAUUACUCUUUUGAGAGCAUUGUGUCUGCAAGGUGGGCUCACGUUAUUUUCGGUG